UACGUAGGGUGCGAGCGUUGUCCGGAAUUACUGGGCGUAAAGAGCUCGUAGGUGGUUUGUCGCGUUGUCCGUGAAAACUCACAGCUUAACUGUGGGCGUGCGGGCGAUACGGGCAGACUGGAGUACUGCAGGGGAGACUGGAAUCCCUGGUGUAGCGGUGGAAUGCGCAGAUAUCAGGAGGAACACCGGUGGCGAAGGCGGGUCUCUGGGCCGAUACUGACGCUGAGGAGCGAAAGCGUGGGGAGCGAACAGG
rnacentral:rRNA from 1 species